GACGAACGCUGGCGGCGUGCUUAACACAUGCAAGUCGAACGGAAAGGCCCUGCUUUUGUGGGGUGCUCGAGUGGCGAACGGGUGAGUAACACGUGAGUAACCUGCCCUUGACUUUGGGAUAACUUCAGGAAACUGGGGCUCAUACCGGAUAGGAGCUCCUGCUGCAUGGUGGGGGUUGGAAAGUUUCGGCGGUUGGGGAUGGACUCGCGGCUUAUCAGCUUGUUGGUGAGGUAGUGGCUUACCAAGGCUUUGACGGGUAGCCGGCCUGAGAGGGUGACCGGCCACAUUGGGACUGAGAUACGGCCCAGACUCCUACGGGAGGCAGCAGUGGGGAAUAUUGCACAAUGGGCGGAAGCCUGAUGCAGCAACGCCGCGUGCGGGAUGACGGCCUUCGGGUUGUAAACCGCUUUCGCCUGUGACGAAGCGUGAGUGACGGUAAUGGGUAAAGAAGCACCGGCUAACUACGUG
rnacentral:rRNA from 1 species